GCUGGCGGCGUGCCUAAYACAUGCAAGUCGAGCGGGUUAGAACCUAGAACCAAGAAUCCGGACAAGCUAUUAUACAAAAAGCAGUAUAAUAGGAAGAAAGACGGUCUUUUGGUUCUAGGCUCUAAUCAGCGGCGGACGGGUGAGUAACGCGUGGGUAAUCUGCCUUCUACUGGGGAAUAACUGUGAGAAAUCACAGCUAAUGCCGCAUACGUUCCCGGGAUCACAUGGUUCUGGGAAGAAAGAUUUAUCGGUAGAAGAGGAGCCCGCGUCCGAUUAGCUAGUUGGUGAGGUAACGGCCCACCAAGGCGACGAUCGGUAGCCGACCUGAGAGGGUGACCGGCCACAUUGGGACUGAGACACGGCCCAAACUCCUACGGGAGGCAGCAGUGGGGAAUAUUGCACAAUGGGCGAAAGCCUGAUGCAGCAACGCCGCGUGAAGGAUGAAGGGUUUCGGCUCGUAAACUUCUAUCGACGGGGAAGAAUAAAAUGACGGUACCCGAGUAAGAAGCCCCGGCUAACUACGUGCCAGCAGCCGCGGUAAUACGUAGGAUUCGAAGCAACGCGAAGAACCUUACCCAAGGCUUGACAUCCCUCUGACCGGUGUAGAGAUACGCCUUUCCUUCGGGACAGAGGAGACAGGUGGUGCAUGGUUGUCGUCAGCUCGUGUCGUGAGAUGUUGGGUUAAGUCCCGCAACGAGCGCAACCCUUAUCGCUAGUAGCCAGUGGGUAAUGCCAGGCACACUAGUGAGACUGNCCGUGGAUAACACGGAGGAAGGUGGGGAUGAGGUCAAAUCAUCAUGCCCCUUAUGUCUUGGGCUUCAAACGUACUACAAUGGCUGGUACAAAGUGAUGCAACCCCGCGAGGGUGAGCAAACCACAGAAAAGCAGCCCCAGUUCGGAUUGCAGUCUGCAACUCGACUGCAUGAAGUUGGAAUCGCUAGUAAUCGCGAAUCAGCAUGUCGCGGUGAAUACGUUCCCGGGCCUUGUACACACCGCCCGUCAAACCAUGGGAGUUGGUAGCACCCGAAGCCUGUGACCUAACCGUAAGGAUGGAGCAGUCGAAGGUGAGAUC
rnacentral:rRNA from 1 species